rnacentral:rRNA from 1 species
UACAGAGGGGGCAAGCGUUGUUCGGAAUUACUGGGCGGAAAGGGCGCGUAGGCGGCCUGUUAAGUCGAACGUGAAAUCCCCGGGCUCAACCCGGGAACUGCGUCCGAUACUGGCAGGCUUGAAUCCGGGAGAGGGAUGCGGAAUUCCAGGUGUAGCGGUGAAAUUCGUAGAUAUCGGGAGGAACACCGGUGGCGAAGGCGGCGACCUGGGUAGAUACUGACGCUGAGGUGCGAAAGCGUGGGGAGCAAACAGG